rnacentral:misc_RNA from 1 species
GAAUAAUCGCUUUUACUUUUCAGAAAAGGGAGAAAGUCUCCCCACUUUUGCAUGGAAGAUGUGGUCUAAAGGGCAAGGAAUGGAGUUAAUAGACUCAUUACUUGCGAAGUCAAAUGUGGCGGCACCUGAGGUCUUGAAGUACAUCCACAUUGGAUUGUUGUGUGUACAAGACGACCCAGCACAGAGACCUACAAUGUCAUCCGUUGUUGUUAUGUUGGGAAGCGAAAUAGCAACAUUUCCUCAGCCUA